rnacentral:rRNA from 1 species
UACAGAGGUCUCAAGCGUUGUUCGGAUUCAUUGGGCGUAAAGGGUGCGUAGGUGGCGCGCUAAGUCAGGUGUGAAAUCUCGGGGCUCAACUCCGAAACUGCAUUUGAUACUGGCGUGCUUGAGGACUGGAGAGGAGACUGGAAUUCAUGGUGUAGCAGUGAAAUGCGUAGAGAUCAUGAGGAAGACCAGUGGCGAAGGCGGGUCUCUGGACAGUUCCUGACACUGAGGCACGAAGGCCAGGGGAGCAAACGGG